UCCAGCUACCCACAUGGGUAGCAGUGAUAUAGUCUCCUGCUGCCUGUGGAUCAAGAUGUAGAAGUCCUGCUUCUCCUGAACCAUGUCUUCCUGCAUAAUGGACUAAACACCUGAAACUGAAACAUUGCGUGGCAUGGAUAAAGCCCGAGGCAAGAUGCUCUCUCUUGCUUUGUGUGAUUCCUACCAGCCUUGGGUAUUUGACUACCCGUUUCAGAUGGAGACUAGCAUGGUCAUAAGCAGAUGCCCACCAGAAAGGCAGCUGUGUGGGAGCCAUGCCCGGCAGCAGAGCUGCACACAGGAAUACUGCACCUCUGAACUCUCAUACUUCUUCCCACUGCAUGCCAAGUCCUUUCUGAACCUGUUACACAGAUGUCCUGACUAUUUCUUUCUCUUUUUCCCCACAAGAACUGCCUUUGAGAUUGACUAUUCAAAAUACUCAUCAUUUCUCUCUUCAUGGGAAUUACAUUUUCUCUUCCAUGAUAUCUGACUUGCUCUUGAUUUUUAUAUCCCUGUCUAGUGGAACUCAGAAGUGACCAUGUGAUUUGCUUUGGCCAAUGAUGUGUCAAUUCUACAUAUAAGCUUAAGAAAUAGAUUAUAUAAUUAUCCUUAUCCCUUCACAAAAUUAGCAAUGUUUCAUUCAAAGGCAAGACCCAUUGGUUUGGAUUCCAUUAUGAGAACAGCAAAGAGGAGAAUUACCUACAUAUCAGACCUGUUGGGUAAGAAAUAAAC
rnacentral:lncRNA from 1 species